rnacentral:rRNA from 2 species
GGAUGCGAUCAUACCAGCACUAAAGCACCGGAUCCCAUCAGAACUCCGAAGUUAAGUGUGCUUGGGCAGGAGUAGUACUAGGAUGGGUGACGUCCUGGGAAGUCCUCGUGUUGCAUUUC